GCUUCUGUGGUGUAAUGGUUAGCACAUUUGACUCUAAAUCCAAGGAUCCCAGUUCAGGUCUCGGCAGAACCU